rnacentral:rRNA from 1 species
AACGAACGCUGGCGGCAGGCCUAACACAUGCAAGUCGAGCGCCCCGCAAGGGGAGCGGCGGGCGGGUGAGUAACGCGUGGGAACGUGCCCUUUGCUACGGAAUAGCCCCGGGAAACUGGGAGUAAUACCGUAUAAGCCCUACGGGGGAAAGAUUUAUCGGCAAAGGAUCGGCCCGCGUUGGAUUAGGUAGUUGGUGGGGUAAUGGCCUACCAAGCCGACGAUCCAUAGCUGGUUUGAGAGGAUGAUCAGCCACACUGGGACUGAGACACGGCCCAGACUCCUACGGGAGGCAGCAGUGGGGAAUCUUAGACAAUGGGCGCAAGCCUGAUCUAGCCAUGCCGCGUGAGCGAUGAAGGCCUUAGGGUUGUAAAGCUCUUUCGUGGGGGAAGAUAAUGACUGUACCCCAAGAAGAAGCUCGGCUAACUACGUGCCAGCCGCCGCCGUAACAC